rnacentral:rRNA from 1 species
CGUAGGUAACCUGCCUGGUAGCGGGGGAUAACUAUUGGAAACGAUAGCUAAUACCGCAUAACAGUAGAUAUUGCAUGAUAUCUGCUUGAAAGGGGCAAUUGCUCCACUACCAGAUGGACCUGCGUUGUAUUAGCUAGUUGGUGAGGUAACGGCUCACCAAGGCGACGAUACAUAGCCGACCUGAGAGGGUGAUCGGCCACACUGGGACUGAGACACGGCCCAG